UACAGAGGUCUCAAGCGUUGUUCGGAUUCAUUGGGCGUAAAGGGUGCGUAGGCGGCGCGGUAAGUCGGGUGUGAAAUCUUGGAGCUUAACUCCGAAACUGCAUUCGAUACUGCCGUGCUUGAGGACUGGAGAGGAGACUGGAAUUUACGGUGUAGCGGUGAAAUGCGUAGAUAUCGUAAGGAAGACCAGUGGCGAAGGCGGGUCUCUGGACAGUUCCUGACGCUGAGGCACGAAGGCCAGGGGAGCAAACGG
rnacentral:rRNA from 1 species